GGGUGUGAGGGCAGUCUGGCUGUGACAGCUGUCACCCCGCCGACCCCCUGGGUUGAUUCAGCUGACCUGGCUGGCUAGGCCGGUGUCCCCUUCCUUCCUUCCUGCUUCCUGUGUGUCCCUCCCCAAACUGGCCCCUCUGUUGAAGAGGACAAGCAUCCCCGACGGAGGAGGACAGGUCAAGGAUGUACUAGUAGCUGUGCUCCCCUGCUAGAACCUCCAAACAAGCUCUCA
rnacentral:lncRNA from 1 species